UUAACUUCAAGUUCAAGCACUUUUUUGUCAUUGUGUAGCACAACAAGAUUACUUUGACAGCCCAAGGGUGUGCUAAAAAUGACCAAAUACAUGUUG